GAUGAACGCUGGCGGCGUGCUUAACACAUGCAAGUCGAACGGGAUCCAUCAAGCUUGCUUGGUGGUGAGAGUGGCGAACGGGUGAGUAAUGCGUGACCGACCUGCCCCAUGCUCCGGAAUAGCUCCUGGAAACGGGUGGUAAUGCCGGAUGUUCCACAUGAUCGCAUGUGAUUGUGGGAAAGAUUCUAUCGGCGUGGGAUGGGGUCGCGUCCUAUCAGCUUGUUGGUGAGGUAACGGCUCACCAAGGCUUCGACGGGUAGCCGGCCUGAGAGGGCGACCGGCCACAUUGGGACUGAGAUACGGCCCAGACUCCUACGGGAGGCAGCAGUGGGGAAUAUUGCACAAUGGGCGCAAGCCUGAUGCAGCGACGCCGCGUGAGGGAUGGAGGCCUUCGGGUUGUAAACCUCUUUUGUUUGGGAGCAAGCCUUCGGGUGAGUGUACCUUUCGAAUAAGCGC
rnacentral:rRNA from 1 species